UUCCACGAUUCUGAGCUCACAAUAGGAUUCUUUAUUAACCAAAUCAAGAAGCCAAACUAAAUAUCCCAAUAAAAACAAAAAAUUACGCACAAUUACAAAUAAAACACCAAAAGCAACUUAAUUAACUAAAUAAAACAUGCAAUGACUAACUAAAAUCAACCUAAAAUUGCAAACAAAAUACUCACAAAAUUUUGACAAAUCAAACCCCCUUUUUGAUAAAAUCAAUAUAUAUAUGUAUAUUAAAGGUAAAGCGAACAAAUAAGCGCACAAAAUCAUGCCAUGUAUUUAAGAAAGUAACUUAAAAUACUGCCAUUUGUCAUUUUCUUAGUCAAGUUGUCAUCAACAUCUAUUGACAUAUAUGCCACUAUUUAAACUGGAG
rnacentral:misc_RNA from 1 species